CAGCAGCCGCGGUAAUACGAAGGGUGCAAGCGUUACUCGGAAUUACUGGGCGUAAAGCGUGCGUAGGUGGUUUUGUAAGACAGGCGUGAAAUCCCAGGGCUUAACCUUGGAACUGCGUUUGUGACUGCAAGACUUGAGUGUCGGAGAGGUUGGCGGAAUUCCUAGUGUAGAGGUGAAAUUCGCAGAUAUUAGGAGGAACACCGAUGGCGUAAGCAGCCAACUGGACGACUACUGACGCUGAGAUACGAAAGCGUGGGGAGCA
rnacentral:rRNA from 1 species